AGUUUGCUAUGAUGAAGUUAAGUCCAUGUUUCAGCUGAUCACCCUGAUUAAACACAUGCUCUGAGAGACU